UAAAAGUUUUAUUCUUACUUGGGAAUUUAUUUCAAGUUUGUUUUACAUGUUAGUUUUUGCGUGAAUUUUAUUCACUCUUAAAGAGUGUAAGAUGGUUAUAAUUCGCAGUAUUUAAUUUUAUUAAUCAAGGAAGUUUGGAUUUAUUAAUAUUUGUUAGUACCGGCAAAAGUCGUGCCAGCCGCCGCGGUUACACGGAGGGUGCAAAUGAAUGUUGUUAGUUUGCAGUUAUAUUAUAAAAGAUUUAUAGGGUUAAUAAUAAAUUUAUUAGGUGAAAUUUUAAGUUUAUAUAAUUUUUAUACAAAGUAUAUAGAAGCUGGGAAAUUUAAAGGUUAGACUAGGAUUAGAUACCCUAUUAUUUUAAAUGUAAAUAGAAGAAGACUUGAGUAGUAAUAGUUAUGGGCUUGAAACUCAAAGAAUUUGGCGGUGUUUUAGUCUUUUCAGAGGAACCUGUCCCAUUAUCGAUAGUCCACGUAAAACCUUACUUAACUUUGUUUUCAGCUUGUAUACCGCCGUCGUCAGAAUGUCCUUGGAGGGGUUUAAUUUUCUUAGAUUUUAAUUAGAAAUGACGUCAGGUCAAGGUGCAGUUUAUGGUUAAGUGGAGAUGGGUUACAAUAAAUUUAUUUAUAUGGAAAUUACUUUGAAAUAAGUGUUAGAAAGUGGAUUUGAAAGUAAUUAAGUUAAUUAUGUUAAUUUGAUUUUGGCUCUAAAACAUGCACACAUCGCCCGUCGCUCUCGUUUUUUAAGGCGAGAUAAGUCGUAACAUAGUAGGCGUACCGGAAGGUGCGCCUGGAAAGUU
rnacentral:ncRNA from 1 species